GACGUAGGGUGCGAGCGUUGUCCGGAUUUAUUGGGCGUAAAGAGCUCGUAGGCGGCUCGUCGCGUCGACCGUGAAAACUUGGGGCUUAACCCUAAGCUUGCGGUUGAUACGGGCGGGCUAGAGUUCGGUAGGGGGAGACUGGAAUUCCUGGUGUAGCGGUGAAAUGCGCAGAUAUCAGGAGGAACACCGGUGGCGAAGGCGGGUCUGCUGGGCCGAUACUGACGCUGAGGAGCGAAAGCGUGGGGAGCGAACAGG
rnacentral:rRNA from 1 species